AACCCUGCCGGGCACUUCUCAGUUCCUGGUGGGAGGUGAAAACUCAUGCCUCCCAGAUUCUCUUCUUAGAAGACAAUCCUGAAAGUGAUUUUGUUUGGAUUUCUUAACACCCAGACAACUGUCUGCUUCUGCUGUCUCAUUUUCAAGGACUUCGGGGGAUGCCGAGAAGCUGAUGGACAGCAGGGACAGGGGCUGCCUGCGCGCCAAGCCCGUGACUCCAGGGAGCCUCAGGAUCGUAUCAAAGAGGUUCAAUCAUUCAGCUGCCCGCAGAGCUUUGGGAAAGUUGUGACACAUUCAUGGCAUGAACAAAGAAACACACCACUUCCAGGAUCUGAACUCUGAUCAGUCGUUCGUGGUACGAGCCUUUGGCAAGCAGAGAAGGGCAAGGUUUCUACAGGGCGUGACUCAAGGGAGAGGGCCCUUUCUGUGCUAAGAGAAACGAUGGGAGAAUAAGUCAAGAUAGAGGAACAUUGAGGAAACUACGCUCGGCACAUUCAGAGCAACUAGAUAUUCCCUGGUGCCAUGCUUUGCAUGGGAGGCAGGGUCGGCUUCCUGACUCCAAAUCACAGACCUCAAACCGGUCAUCCUACCCUUUCACACCCUAGUUUCCACGGGGGACAGUGGGAAUUGUAUCCCGUUCUUUCCCCUCCUGUGUCCCUCCAUAAUAGCUCAUGAACUUCCACCCCAUUAACUCUCCUAUUGUAUCUGCCAGCGACUGCCACAAUUAUGCCAAAUAAAACGCCCCCCCAAACUCA